AUGGCCACAUCUCAUUGAAACACUGGUCCCCAUAUAAUCACUAAAGUUAAGCAACAUCGAGCCUGAUCACUACCUCAAUGGGUUACUGCUUGAGAAUACCAGGUGCUGUAAG